rnacentral:lncRNA from 1 species
CUGGGCAGUCUUAUCAUCAGAGUGGAGCCUGACAUGAACUUAUGAAUUCAACACAUGAAGACUUACAACUUGAUAAACCAGCUUCAGGAGGUUCCUGAAAGGGAGAGAGGAAAUCUUCGAUUUUUCAUGGCUGUGAACCACUGCAAGUAUUGAAGAAAUAUUUACUACUUCCAGCCUCAUAAUCCUGCAGUCAUUUGGCACCUCUGAAGCCUUGGGGAGCACUGAAGCCAAGGCUGCACCGUACCAAAAAUUUGAAACAUGUGAAUGAGCUGAAUGUGGAAGGACUACCGGAAAACACUCCUUUCAGAAUCCCCUCAUUGCAUGAAAUCCCAAGGCUCGAAAACAUCUUUCAAGUGAGCAAUUGAAUUAAGUUUGUUAUUAAGAGUAACUCCAGUUAGCCUCCAUUGUCUCCAAGCCGGCUUUUGUCCUCAUCCACAACGCCUCCACACAAGCUCUGAACACCUGUCCAUUGCUAACUUGAGACUGCCAUGCUGUUAGGAAGUUCAAGUUCACCACAUGGAGAUGAAAUAAGAUAUCAUGAUAAACAUCCCCAGCUGAUCCCAGCCUCCAGUGAUCCAUCAACUACAUAUAUGAUCCUAAGUCACAUGUGUGACCCCGAGCAAGAUCAGCAGAACAAUCACUCAGCCAACCCACAGAACCCUGAAAAAAUAUAAAUCAUUAUAGUUUAAACCACAAGUUUUGGGUAGCUUGUUAUGCUGCUAUUGAUAAUUAAAACAAACUGGAAUAUUUUCAUCUA